GCCGCUCCCUUCUCUCCUUCCUCCUCUGUUCCCUUUUCCGUAGCGCAGCCCCGGUUUCACGCUCGAAAGCAAAGCCCUGGACUCUCAGUGGUUGGUGCUCGUGGUUUGAUGUGUCCACUUCUGCAAUCACCCAUGGUUGAAGAGGUGGACUUGGUCCAUCCAUGGGACAUUGCGGUGAUGAGGGAACCCAGGAGAAACUGAUCCUGCAGUCAUGGUUGUGCUGCCCUGGAGAUGCACCAUCUCAUGGGAUCUUCACCAGCUCAACCAUUACAAGAUGCCCCAGGUCAUGGGAAAGGGUCUUCACCCAUGUGAGCAAAGUCAUGCAAACAUAUCCAGUGGAUGCUGAGAAUCACCCUUCUUCUCCUUUCACCCCAGCAGAAGCUGAGUCAAGACAGCACACGCCUCCCUCCCCUGGUUCUCCUUCACCAGAGUGCUUAUUAGCAUUUCUCCAAAAACAUGCCACUAAUUGCAAGGUGGGUCGCUGUCAGCCCUCUUGCAUCAGCAAGACUUGUUAUUGAGAGGCGACGUGGUCCCUGAUUCAUGGAGAUGGGGAGGAGGAAAGGGGCACAACCUGCCGUGCUUCCACUGAUGGUCCCAGGGGUGUCCUCACCAAAACACCAGCCAAUGGCCAAGCUAAAGUUGAUCUGAAGCCAAUAACAAAUUACCAGCAGGGGGAUUGAUUCUCGGCACAACCAAAGCUGUGGAACCCAGCAGGUUUUGGAACCGAGGCCGUGAAACAACAAAACUCUCAGCUGUUGAAAAGGAUUAUAAUUACAGCUCUAUCUCCAGUACAAUCUUCCCCCAGAAGUCGGUAAUUUGCUCAGAUUUUUUUGUUGUUGUUGUUUCGUUCUUCUUGUCUCCUUUAGGAGCGGGAUGGAGGAGACUGCAGGAACUGAACUUGGGUGAUGCUAAACUCUGGCUCAGUGUCUUCUUGGUACAUUCCACCCAGAGAGGGGACAAGUAGGGCUCCAGCCCUGGCUAAAACCAUGAAUGUUGGGUGUCUCCACUGUUUUGCCAAUGGAGGUGAGAUCAUCUCACCUUCGCGCCACAUCAUUCUUCGUGAUGGUCGUGUGUUGGCUGGAUGCAUGCAUGGACAUGGAUUUCCUGAUGGAAAGGGCAGCAGCGCUGUUGCAAGGCUCUGGCUGAGUAACCAAGCUCUCAGAAGGUGAUUGGGAUGGAAGCAACGCAGAGAAAAGAAAGGGGACGAAGAACUUCUUUUUUUUUUCCCCAUUCUUUAGGUUUUCUUUCAAUCAUCAAUAGGAAUCAAUCAUCAGCGUGAGCGUAUGUGUUCCUAUCUUUUGACCAGCUCAGUUUUUGCAAGGGCACCUGUAAGAUUUGGCAGAAGGUAAAUGUACUCCUGGCAUUCAUACUCUCAGCCUGGAAUAUCAAAACCAGCUCCUUUUCAGAUGUGGAUUCUCCCCGAGCGGAAAUAUUGAGAGGAGGGAGAGCUUACACCCAAAUCUGUACUGUAUGCAAUUAAACAUGCAGAGUUUGAAACUUUACAAGCAAAGUAGAAAUUCUGCCCUAUACCUGGUUGGGAAGAUUUGCUUGGAUGCAGAGUUUCCAUUGCGUGAGCCUCUGUGCCCUGGCAUCAGAGCCGGCCAAGAGUGAUGGAGAGAUGCAAAUGAAAAGCUAGUGGGUCUUCCUGAGAAAUCUUUGAACACACGUCCAAAAAAUGAAUGUGUUUUCUUCUAAUUAGGAACGUUCGUUAUAUCUUGUGGCAAUCUACAAAACAAGCCACAUGCCGGUUAUUGUUGGUACAAGCACAACAAUUCUGACUGUGGGAAAAAAAAUAUUUCCAGGCAUGUAGGACACAAAACGUACUAAAGGCAUUUUAAUGGCACUUUAAUUAAUCUCUAGGCAUAUGUUAAACAGAGAGUAUCUAAAAAGGUGUGUAUGUGUGUGGGGGGUAGUAACGAAAGCUAGGACUCAAAUCAAAAGAUGCCUUAGUACCUGCAAAAGCUAUUAAAUAUAAUUACAUUCAUUUAAAAUAUCCCCACGCAUAAAAAAAUGGUAAACUGGAAUGAAGGUUGCAAGCAGAUCUCACCAAAUCAAGGCUUAAAAAAAUAUAUUUCAAAAGAAUGCUGUCAUUAGCAUAUGAACAAAAACAAACCUUGAAUAAAUUUAGAGUUAAGGUGAGACGUAAAAAAAGAAAUCCAAAGAAGAUAAGUGUGGAAAAUUACAGUGGAGGCAGCUGAACCAUCUCCACUUGGAGAUGCGGCGCAGAAGCACUGGGGGAGGAAAAACGAAUGUGGAUUUAGAAACACGCUAUCCUGACCUGGGACCACAGAAAUGGAAAUGCCUUUUGCAUACGUGUGUUGGCUGAUAGCACUUAUCGCUACUGGAUGGAGAUCCUUAUUUCCAGUUUGCUUACCAUGCCAUAGAUCUGACUACCCAUACACUCUAUGACAAAGCAGCCACGGUUUCUACAGAUUCAGUUUUUUUGGUUCAAAGGGAAAUUAACCUGAUUUUAUCAAAAAAUCAACAGGUCCUGUCAAAUUCUUGCAAGGGCUUUCCAGCAGUCACCUUGAAUUGUAUCCCAGUUGUUGGGAGGAGCAUCAAGCACUCUUGAAGGAACCAACGCGCAAGUAUCUCCCUGAGUUUUGCUUUGGAAGGACCUUGCAGAGGGAUCCUGGAUUCUGCAUGACUGUUAUGCGGAGAUCUUGGCAGCUAAGACUCACUUCUGCAAUAAAAAUUCAAUGUAAGCUGAUGCCCCUGGUGAUAGGUUCUUAUAAAAGUACCUGGAAAAGUAUCCAGAAAGCUACUCAAGGAUGAACAAGGCCUGGAGUUGUAUCUUGCAACAGAUGUCACAAUAAAAACAAGGAUUAGCUGUUAGAAGGGACCUGAAGGUUAGAAAGCAGAAUGAAGUUUCUUCUUGUAUUGCUCAGUGAUUCUUCUGGUACUGUUGGCUGGGAGCAGGCACUGGUGUCACCAGUGUCAUCUGCUUCAAGCUGAGCAGAGCUGGGAACCUGGAAGCACUCAUUCCCCACUCCUCUUUACCCCUACCACGCUCUGUGAACUGGCACAAACUGCUUUGCCGCCUUGCUUUGGUUUCACUAUUUUCAAUGCCAGCAUAAAGCAAAUCCAUCCUUGUUCUCAGCAAGCAAUCAACUCCAGUCGACCUUUCUCCCAGUACGUCUGAUAGGAGCUACCACAGCUUUCAAGUCCUUUGGCCAUUAAAUUAGUACCCAUGCUGAAUGGUUACUUGUUUUUAUUACUCUCAGUUGGUGGCUGGUGGGACCAUCCAUACACCUGCCUCGCCCAAAACUCACGCAAGUGUAAGCAUGACAUGGUGGGACACGUUGCACUGUGAUGGCAAAGUUUGACUAGAUGUUUCAGAAGGUCCACCUAUGUCCUAAAUUCCUAUAAAGAGUGUUCAAUUGCAUUCCCUGGCUGAUGAGUAUGUUGACAGCAGGGAAGAGACAGGUUGCUACCUGCUGCGGUCUGGUCUCUACUAGCUCCCAUGCUUCUGGACACUGAAGAUAUGGAGGGGAAACCUCCAGCAGAUGACAACAGCAGAUGUCUUGCACAGAGGGGGAAUGUGUAGUGUCAGAUGAGUAAAAGUGAGGGAUCCAUCACAAGCAGCACAAUGCUUCUGACUGAGAUAACUCAAAAUGGAGAUAAACAGCUGAAUUACUAAGUCCGUGCAGAAAAUGAGAGUACUUUGGAGGAGGCAAUGCCAAGAGCAUGUUUGGUUCUGAAGCUAUUUUGCAAUGGGUGCAUCCAAGGCUGGUUUCAUACCAGAAGUCCAAGUAAUACUAUUUGGUAAGUGUUAACUCUGUGACCAGCGUACAUGAUCCAGCAGCAAGAAGAAAAACAAAGACAUGAUGGGGCUCUGCAGCCAUUUAAGCAUGACUUUGGUAAACAAAGCUGGUUUAAUACUCGCAGGAGCCUCAGGCAGGGGCUAAGGCACUGGCUCCUCCCUCCACCCACCUGCACACUGGAUGACUUGUACAAAACUUAGCCCAGUGGGAGCCCCAGCAUUUAACCUGGUCCCCCUGCAUUUAUCACCCACCACCCUCCUUCCACAAGACCAAACCAACAUGCUUGGCUGUGCUUGUAAAGACAGCUGGACCAUCAACUGGGGUGAACUGAAAAUUAGGAAUCAGACAGGCAUCCCAAGAUCUGUAACUUGUUAAAAUCCCAGGGAACAUUUUCCAGCAAGCUGGUAGAGUGUGGCCUUGCCAACACGGGCACCUGGGUGUGGGAAGAAUGUUGGCAGGGCAAUGAACUCAUUAAGGUGGAGCUCUGUCACCACCUCCUGAAGGAAUCUGAGAUGAGCCCAUCACACCGCUGUACCCUUGUGCAACUGAGUGUAGGAAGGAUCAGUCACUGGAGCUCGGCGCUGCCCUGCUCUACACGCUGAAGUCAACGCCACCAGGAGAAAUAAGAGCCCUUUCCAUGUAAGCAAACUGAUCCGGCUGAUAUCGAGUGACUCAUUAACGGCUUACAAAACUUAAGUAGACCAUAGCGUUACUCUCUAGUAGUGGGAACUCCUCAGCUUGAAAGGAGGAUUUGAUACUUGCCAAAAGCUCACCUUGGGCCUAAUCAUCGUUAGUAAUAGCAGAUCUGCCCUUGGAGGUGUUUGCAAGAAGUUACAAGCUGCACCUGCUCUGAGGAAUUAAUUUUUUUUCCAAAGAUCCUGGGCACAGAGACAAGUUGGACAUGCACUGGGAAAUCGUGGACUCCAAACCUGUAAUGCAAGUGAUGAGAGGUGAAGAUCUGCUCCUGAGCAGAUCCUAAGCUGGACAAAUGCUUUUACUCAACUGUGCCUUUUCUCAGUCGCUCAUCACAUUUCACUCCCUGUGCUGCUCUCCACCCAUUUCCCAUCCAAGCCCCCAAAAUAUUUAAAAUAGCCUAUGCUGAUUAGAUUCAUUUGAGACAAAAGAAUCUUAUUUUUGGAAUAAGAGUUGCAGAAGCCACACUGAAAAAAUAAAUCCAUGGUCUUAGAUGUACAUCAGAAUAUAGUUGGUUGGCUUUCUGGGCUGCAAGGACACAUUGCUGGCUCAUGUCCAUCUUGCCAUCCACUAUUCGUAUAUAUCGUUCUCAGGAUAGCAAAAUAGAUUUCUUAAGAGCAUCUGGAAUUACUGAGUAGAACUUGCCCAUGCUUCUGGCCUCCACAGAUCACAUCUCUGAAGGACACUCUUGCUGCUCCAGCUCAAGACUUUGUACAACUUAUCGUUAAAUUCCAUAAAUAGCAUCUCAUGUGUUAGAUGUAACACCUCUAGCAGUAUCCUUAGCAUAAAGAAGGUGAAUAUACUUUGCUGAAUUCUUUUUUCAUCAGCCCAAAGCAACUCUAAAACCAAAGAAAUGCAGUAUUUGGCCAAUAGCAACUGGGAGGUUUGAGGGGAUAUGAUGCUACAAAUCCAGCCUUUUAAAGAGCAGGUAGCACUAAGAGUCAGUGGCCAAGCUGGGUUAUUAGAUACUGAGGCAAAAAAAUGGAUUUUGGGGUUGACUGAGCAUCUGUCUUUGCAGAAAAUAUAGAGAACAACAGCAUCACUUCAUUCUCAGCAUCUUAAUACAUGCCAGCUCCAAGCACUAACUCAGGCAUUUCACAGCCCACAAAGCCCAGAGAAGGCAGCUAUUGUAUCAAUUAUGAGAGUUAGAUUUUGGUGUCCCCAGAGUAACUUUAACCAAAAAGCUGUUUCUCAGAUAAAUCCCACCAGAUAACCCUGGAAGCAAAAAAGGGCCAGUAAUAGCAAAAGGCAACAGGUGAGGCAUUGGAACGGGCUGCCCAGGGAAGUGAAGAACUCGCCAUACCUGGAGGUGUUCAAGCAAAAGGGUAAAUGUGGCACUGAGGGACAUGGUGUAAUGGGCAUGGUGGGGAUGGGUUGACCGUUGGACUAGAUGAUCUUAGUGGUCUUUUCUAAUCUUAAUGAUUCAGGAAAAUAAGGCUUUGAUGUGAGGCCAGCUAGGCUCCAAAUCAGCCAGUGAGAAGAGGGAUGGAUUCGUGUUGGAAAACUUCUUGGAAGAGGGUCGGCCACAAAAUGCAAAGCUAAGGGACUUGUCUGGUUCAGUAGCACUGCAGAUGGUUUCCAGUACUUAAACCCCAAUGAAAACACAAGUGCAGAGAAAGGUUCAACUGAGGAGCAGGUCCAAGGACAGAUCCUGCAUGGAAGAAGCUCCCAAUAGCCCUGAUGUUUAGAGCACUGGGUGUUAACAGAGUGAUGGGUGAUUUAACCUGUGGGAAGCUCUGGUCCCUCUUUACAAGCUUCACAUCGGCUUGGUCCAGGGCUGAAGCUGAGCAGCAGAGCGAGAAACAUUAUCCAGCUCCUGUGGAUAGAAACUGGGACAUGCACAGAUGCUGUGCCCAAACCCUCCAACAAAGCCACGCCAGAGCUGAGUUUCUUAAUAACAAGAGUGCGUUUCUGCCUUUGAAUACAUGCAAUGGCUAUCAUGCAGAGAACAACAUCUUAGCAGAUGUGUACACCUAAUAUGACAAUUCUUACAGCACUCAUUCUAAUAAGUACUGUAAAUGACAUCUCAAUUAAAAACGAGCAAUUGCACACAACUUCCUGCCCCUAUUUCUUAAUUUGCUUCUGCAUAAGGAAAAUAAAUAUGCAGUGGUGUUACCUGAGCUGACUCACACAUAACCUGAAUUACAAAUUUUCAGGCACUACAGCAAAUAGUGCCCAGUCCUGAAGGUCUCCUGCAUGCAGCAGUGUC